rnacentral:sRNA from 1 species
UCCAGGUCCCCUACGUGGAGCUGGGGGGCAGGGUGCUGGUCAUGGCGGUGUACGACUUCGACCGCUUCUCUCGCAAUGACGCCAUCGGGGAGGUGCGGGUCCCCAUGAGCUCCGUGGACCUGGGGCGGCCAGUGCAGGCCUGGCGGGAGCUGCAGGCGGCUCCGCGGGAGGAGCAGGAGAAGCUUGGUGACAUCUGCUUCUCCCUCCGCUAUGUCCCCACGGCCGGGAAGCUCACCGUCAUUGUCCUGGAGGCUAAAAACCUGAAGAAGAUGGACGUAGGAGGACUGUCAGAUCCAUACGUCAAGGUCCACCUGCUGCAGGGCGGCAAAAAGGUGAGGAAGAAGAAAACCACCAUCAAGAAGAACACUCUGAACCCCUAUUACAACGAAGCUUUCAGCUUCGAGGUGCCCUGUGACCAAGUCCAGAAGGUGCAGGUGGAGCUGACCGUGCUGGACUACGACAAGCUGGGCAAGAACGAGGCCAUCGGGAGGGUGGCCGUGGGGGCGGCUGCC